GACGAACGCUGGCGGCGUGCUUAACACAUGCAAGUCGAACGGAAAGGCCCUGCUUUUGUGGGGUGCUCGAGUGGCGAACGGGUGAGUAACACGUGAGUAACCUGCCCUUGACUUUGGGAUAACUUCAGGAAACUGGGGCUAAUACCGGAUAGGAGCUCCUGCUGCAUGGUGGGGGUUGGAAAGUUUCGGCGGUUGGGGAUGGACUCGCGGCUUAUCAGCUUGUUGGUGGGGUAGUGGCUUACCAAGGGUUUGACGGGUAGCCGGCCUGUGAGGGUGACCGGCCACAUUGGGACUGAGAUACGGACCAGACUCCUACGGGAGGCAGCAGUGGGGAAUAUUGCACAAUGGGCGGAAGCCUGAUGCAGCAACGCCGCGUGCGGGAUGACGGCCUUCGGGUUGUAAACAGCUUUCGCCUGUGACGAAGCGUGAGUGACGGUAAUGGGUAAAGAAGCACCGGCUAACUACGUG
rnacentral:rRNA from 1 species